GUGCCAGCCGCCGCGGUAAUACGGAGGAUCCGAGCGUUAUCCGGAUUUAUUGGGUUUAAAGGGUGCGUAGGUGGUUUGAUAAGUCAGCGGUGAAAGUUUGCAGCUUAACUGUAAAAAUGCCGUUGAAACUGUCGGACUUGAGUGUAAAUGAGGUAGGCGGAAUGCGUGGUGUAGCGGUGAAAUGCAUAGAUAUCACGCAGAACUCCGAUUGCGAAGGCAGCUUACUAAGCUACAACUGACACUGAAGCACGAAAGCGUGGGGAUCAAACAGGAUUAGAUACCCUGGUAGUCCACGCAGUAAACGAUGAUUACUAGCUGUUUGCGAUACACAGUAAGCGGCACAGCGAAAGCGUUAAGUAAUCCACCUGGGGAGUACGCCGGCAACGGUGAAACUCAAAUGAAUUGGCGG
rnacentral:rRNA from 1 species